GAAAGCCUUCCCAGAGGAGUGGAGGCUGUUAUAGCAGCAAUGUUCUUACAUCUAGUGGAAAUCCUUCCCAGAGGAGUGGAGGCUGUUAUAGCAGCAAUGUUCCAACAUCUAGUGGAAAGCCUUCCCAGAAGAGUGGAGGCUGUUAUAGCAGCAAAGGGGAGGACCAACUCCCUAUUAAUGCCCUUCGAGGACAGACGCUGGGAGACGAGAAGCAAGCAACAUAGAGUGAAUAUUUAAUAAAUAACAGACAUGAAACAAAACACAGAGAGCGUCUGGACAGGCGAAACAUAAUGAUGUUAAUGCUGACACGGGGAUCAAACCGAGGAACAGACAGAUAUAGGAAGGAGGCAAUCAACAAAGUUAAGGAGUCCAGGUGAGUCCAAAGAAGCGCUGAUAUGAGCGUAACGAUGGUGACAGGUGAGCGUAACGAUGGUGACAGAUGUGUGUAACGAUGGUGACAGGUGUGCGUAACGAUGGUGACAGGUGUGCGUAACGAUGGUGACAGGUGUGCGUAACGAUGGUGACAGGUGUGCGUAACGAUGCUGACAGGUGUGCGUAACGAUGGUGACAGAUGUGCGUAACGAUGGUGACAGAUGUGUCACCAUGGUGUUCUCAUAAAGAACAUGGUGAGAAGUGUUCUCAUAAAGAACAUGGUGAGAAGUGUUCUCAUAAAGAACAUGGUGAGAAGUGUUCUCAUAAAGAACAUGGUGAGAAGUGUUCUCAUAAAGAACAUGGUGAGAANNNNNNNNNNGAUAUGAGCGUAACGAUGGUGACAGGUGAGCGUAACGAUGGUGACAGAUGUGUGUAACGAUGGUGACAGGUGUGCGUAACGAUGGUGACAGGUGUGCGUAACGAUGGUGACAGGUGUGCGUAACGAUGGUGACAGGUGUGCGUAACGAUGCUGACAGGUGUGCGUAACGAUGGUGACAGAUGUGCGUAACGAUGGUGACAGAUGUGUCACCAUGGUGUUCUCAUAAAGAACAUGGUGAGAAGUGUUCUCAUAAAGAACAUGGUGAGAAGUGUUCUCAUAAAGAACAUGGUGAGAAGUGUUCUCAUAAAGAACAUGGUGAGAAGUGUUCUCAUAAAGAACAUGGUGAGAAGGGUUCUCAUAAAGAACAUGGUGAGAAGUGUUCUCAUAAAGAACAUGGUGUUCUCAUAAAGAACAUGGUGAGAAGUGUUCUCAUAAAGAACAUGGUGAGAAGUGUUCUCAUAAAGAACAUGGUGAGAAGUGUUCUCAUAAAGAACAUGGUGAGAAGUGUUCUCAUAAAGAACAUGGUAAGAAGUGUUCUCAUAAAGAACAUGGUGAGAAGGGUUCUCAUAAAGAACAUGGUGAGAAAUGUUCUCAUAAAGAACAUGGUGAGAAGUGUUCUCAUAAAGAACAUAGUGAGAAGUGUUCUCAUAAAGAACAUGGAGAGAAGUGUUCUCAUAAAGAACAUGGUGAGAAGUGUUCUCAUAAAGAACAUGGUGAGAAGUGUUCUCAUAAAGAACAUGGUGAGAAGGGUUCUCAUAAAGAACAUGGUGAGAAGUGUUCUCAUAAAGAACAUGGUGAGAAGUGUUCUCAUAAAGAACAUGGUGAGAAGUGUUCUCAUAAAGAACAUGGUGAGAAGGGUUCUCAUAAAGAACAUAGUGAGAAGGGUUCUCAUAAAGAACAUGGUGGGAAGGGUUCUCAUAAAGAACAUGAUGAGAAGUGUUCUCAUAAAGAACAUAGUGAGAAGGGUUGCUCCAGUCAGGAAUAAGAGGUGAUGAGGUUGAUCAGAUGGAGUCCAUGAUAAACGAUCACCAUGGUGAUAAAAAUCCAUAAAAUGCAUUCCAAAUGACACGCUAUUGCCUUCGUAGUGCACUACUUUUGACCAGAGGCUUAGUCUAAAGUAGUGCGCUAUAUAGGAAAUAGGAUGAUAUUUCAGGACGCACCCAUAGCCAUGAUAAUGGAAAGAAAACAGCAUCAUCCUCGAUCGGUUUUAGACAUAACCCCU
rnacentral:lncRNA from 13 species